rnacentral:tRNA from 1 species
GCCCCCGUAGCUCAGUCCGGAUUAGAGCAACGGGCUUCUAUCCCGUCGGUCGCAGGUUCGAAUCCUGUCGGGGGCA